GGAGGACGGACCAGGAAGUGGUCUUUCUGCUCUGAGAACAUCGUGGUGAACGGUCGUUCUCUGCAGCUCUUCCCAACUCCGACUUCUUCUCGCUGCGCUUCACAGAUGCUGCGUCACCACUUUAGAUGGCACAUGGCCGAGUGUGUUCACGUGUGGAGCUUAUAAAGUUGUUUCAUAUCUGUUGCUGUGGCGACGGGAGGAUCACCAGAUGUGUGAUCUUUUUGCUUCCCUGAACACGCAGGCAGCAUGAUCCGUAAUACAACUACAUCUGAGCCAACGUCACCUCUUCCACAGUUAUUGAGCCGGUUGAUUGAGAGCGUACAAGUUCCACGUGAAAGGUGAGUGCUGAACAACUUGUAUCACAUCAGUGUGGAUUUAACUGUAGAUAUGUAAUAAAACAUUUGCCUUUUAAUUGAUUCAGUGUGACAUUAAUAAAACGUGUCUGCAAGG